GCUAAUUAAUCUUCUGUUCUUCUGUCAGAUGAGAUCUUUGAGCAGAUCUUGUCCUCCACUUCUGAUAAACUGAAGGAAUCUCGAGACAUCUUGAACAAGAUCAUCAGAAGAAAACUGCCAAAGUUUGUUGGAGAAGCUCGACUGACUGAAAAAAACAUCUCAAAGGAAGAGCUGACAGACACAUGGAAAGCUGCAGUAGAGAAGUACAAACCUACAGACCCCACUGUUUCUCUGAACACUGACGAUUUACCACUUUAUGUGGUUGAUCUGGAUCACGGCAUGAAGGACAAAAACCCCAUUGAAAACGUCUAUUUCUACAGCAAGAGGAAACCCAACGAAGCUUCUGCCAUUAAGGAUUAUCAGCUGUCCAGUUUCCUGCCAAAGAGGUUUAAUGAAGAGCUGGUCAGAGUUUACUACAAAAGAACUGAUGGGAAUAAAGAGGAGCAGAAGAAGAAAGUGGAGGAGGCUGAGAAGUGCUUUCAGAUAUGGUGUGACUCCAGUUUUGGACUCCAUUAAUGUGCAUUUGGUUUAUAAUAUAUUAUAUUUUAGUCACUAUCAGUACUGUGUCUGCAGUUGUUGUGAUACAGAUUAGAUGUUUAAUGACUAAACUAAAGGGACUAACCUUGCUGAAAUUGGAAAGAUAGAUUCAUGGUUCGGUGAAUAUAACUCAAAAAUGUAUGAUCCUUUUUUUUUUCUAUUUGAAAAUGAAUUACUUGAGCUUGAAAAUAUUAAUGAAAUUAGUAAAGGGUGUCAGUGAUCUAAAACAAUUCGAUUCAGACAUCACUCUGCAUGUAGUGAGAGACCUUCUUCUAACAGAUCGAAUAAUAAAAACUGUACUAUUUACUAUUUUACUUUAACUAUUUGUAUAAUUUUCCCAUGAAGUAUUG